rnacentral:rRNA from 1 species
CCAAUAGCGUAUAUUAAAGUUGUUGUGGUUAAAAAGCUCGUAGUUGAACCUUGGGCCUGGCUGGCCGGUCCGCCUCACCGCGUGUACUGGUCCGGCCGGGCCUUUCCCUCUGUGGAACCCCAUGCCCUUCACUGGGUGUGGCGGGGAAACAGGGCCUUUACUUUGAAAAAAUUAGUGUGCUCCAGGCAGGCCUAUGCUCGAAUCAAUUAGCAUGGACAAAAAAGAUAGGACGUGCGGUUCUAUUUUGUUGGUUUCUAGGACCGCCGUAAUGAUUAAUAGGGACAGUCGGGGGCAUCAGUAUUCAAUUGUCAGAGGUGAAAUUCUUGGAUUUAUUGAAGACUAACUACUGCGAAAGCAUUUGCCAAGGAUGUUUUCAUUAAUCAGGAACGAAAGUUAGGGGAUCGAAGACGAUCAGAUACCGUCGUAGUCUUAACCAUAAACUAUGCCGACUAGGGAUCGGACGAUGUUAUUCUCUGACUCGUUCGGCACCUUACG